AGAAAAUUCCUGUCGUGUAUCUCCUCCAGAGCCUCCAGAUACAACAGACAGACUGAUGUGAGCUGAACCUUGGAAUUUGACUUGAAGUGGGCUGGUCUUGGCAUUCUUUACUUCAGGCUGCUGAGGCAGCACUCGUGAGGAAACUUUGUCAUUGUACAUCGAGGGGAGUGGGAUUUCCUUGAGAAACACCUAUGAGGUCAUACUUGGGCCGUGCCGGACAAAGAACUCUCCCCAGAGGAACACGCUGUCCGAACGUGGACAAGCACAACCACUACUUGACAUUGUCCUCAAAAAAUAUACAGCUCGAAGAACAUUAUAUGAAAGGACGUUCCUCGGACAGCCAUUGAGCUGUGGGACCUGAGCUGUCAGACAGGUUAAUGGACCAAGAGCACAUAAGAUUGAGUCCAGAAGAACAGAAAGACUGCCAGAGACCGCUACCAUCCCCUAAAGGCAACGGCUCUCGACUGUGCUGUUUCUUCUUUGGAGGCUUGGAUGAUCUGUCUUUAUCCUUCUCCUUCUUCAUCACUACUUUCUUCGAGCCAGAGGAUGAAUGAUGGCCCACGGCUCCUGACGAUGAG